rnacentral:rRNA from 1 species
AUUGAACGCUGGCGGCAGGCCUAACACACGCAAGUCGAGCGGCAGCGGGAAAGUAGCUUGCUACUUUUGCCGGCGAGCGGCGGACGGGUGAGUAAUGCCUGGGAAAUUGCCCAGUCGAGGGGGAUAACAGUUGGAAACGACUGCUAAUGCCGCAUACGCCCUACGGGGGAAAGCAGGGGACCUUCGGGCCUUGCGCGAUUGGAUAUGCCCAGGUGGGAUUAGCUAGUUGGUGAGGUAAUGGCUCACCAAGGCGACGAUCCCUAGCUGGACUUAGAGGAUGAACAGCCACACUGGGACUGAGACACGGGCCAGAAUCCGACGGGAGGCAGCAGUGGGGAAUUUUGCACAAUGGGGGAAACCCUGAUGCAGCCAUGCCGCGUGUGUGAAGAAGGCCUUCGGGUUGUAAAGCACUUUCAGCGAGGAGGAAAGGUUGACGCCUAAUACGUAUCAACUGUGACGUUACUCGCAGAAGAAGCACCGGCUAACUCCGUGCCAGCCGCCGCCGUAACAC